rnacentral:rRNA from 1 species
UACGGGGGGGGCAAGCGUUGUUCGGAAUUACUGGGCGUAAAGGGCUCGUAGGUGGCCAACUAAGUCAGACGUGAAAUCCCUCAGCUUAACUGGGGAACUGCGUCUGAUACUGGAUGGCUUGAGUUUGGGAGAGGGAUGCGGAAUUCCAGGUGUAGCGGUGAAAUGCGUAGAUAUCUGGAGGAACACCGGUGGCGAAGGCGCCGCUCUGGGCCGAAACUGACGCUGAGGAGCGAAAGCAUGGGUAGCAAACAGGG